AAAUUGAAGAGUUUGAUCAUGGCUCAGAUUGAACGCUGGCGGCAGGCCUAACACAUGCAAGUCGAACGGUAACAGGAAGCAGCUUGCUGCUUUGCUGACGAGUGGCGGACGGGUGAGUAAUGUCUGGGAAACUGCCUGAUGGAGGGGGAUAACUACUGGAAACGGUGGCUAAUACCGCAUAACGUCGCAAGACCAAAGAGGGGGACCUUCGGGCCUCUUGCCAUCAGAUGUGCCCAGAUGGGAUUAGCUUGUUGGUGAGGUAACGGCUCACCAAGGCGACGAUCCCUAGCUGGUCUGAGAGGAUGACCAGCCACACUGGAACUGAGACACGGUCCAGACUCCUACGGGAGGCAGCAGUGGGGAAUAUUGCACAAUGGGCGCAA
rnacentral:rRNA from 1 species